GGAGCAGUGGCCCAGUGGUAAGGCGCCAGGUCCGUAUGUCUUGGGGGCUACCCUGCGCACGGCAGACGGGCAGCAGGGUGCCCUAAGGGGGGACUGUCCGGACUCCUGGAGAUCGAAGGUUCGAAUCCCUCCUGCUCCG
rfam:Rachicladosporium antarcticum strain CCFEE 5527 scaffold_45, whole genome shotgun sequence.